UCUCAAUGAGUUUUUCCCCGUCAGAAAUUACAAACUUUUAAUUACAAUAGUUUUUCAUAUUUCAGAGAUUACGUCUAACUUUCCAGCACGGAAUUUGUUGGCGGAGGAUUAUUUGCGUUUAAUAAUUGGGGCAAUUAUCCGGACGUUCGAAUUUGUCAAUGAGGUAUGUGACCCGGGUUAAGCCACAUUUGCCAUAUAGUGUCUUGUUUGCUGGAUGUUAAUCUCAGUGUCACCGUAAUCGAUUUUGGAGCUGAUGUUUACACAAAAUUGGUAAACAAGGGCUUUAUCUUUAUCGAACGUAUUAAGAUUUGUCCACUUAGCAUUAUUUGAUAGACAAACAAAUUGCGUUAGCACUUUGUGUACGGUGUACCUACCGUAACCAAAUGGGUAAAAGCUCAAAUUGGAAGGGUAACAGUAAGGACAAGAUACGCAGUAGUCAGAUACCAGAAUGAAAGAAAAACUGAAUAAAAAGUAGUUGCACGAAUUCCAUUUCCAAAAGACACUUUUUAUCGACAUAAGAUAUAAAUCUGAACUCAACAUUCUUGGCGGAUAAAGAAAUGAUGGGGUGUACAGCUUUGCUAGUGCAUUUCCCAAACUAUGUGGCACCUCCCUCCACUGCAAGCGCAACGACAGCAGAAAAUCCUGUUUCACAAAGACAGUACCAAAGCCCGUACACACCAGUAUAUCAGUACCGUUUGGGUACUAUCUCAAAAAGAAAUCUGCUAUCUAUUAGAAACGUGGAUAUUUUGGUGUACUGGCUAGCGGAAUUUUGAAACUGUAUAUAGAUAACUAGCACGAGUAGGUACUAUUUAGUACUUCCUGUGCAAGUGUAACUGUCGAGUGUAAUCAGUUAUCUGCUAUAUUUAAGGAUAUGCUUGUACAGGAUACUGUACAGGGUGGUUCAAAUUCAUGGCUCACCAUUGGGAUCUUCGCCACGGCGAGAGAUACAGUAUGGGUUAAAUGGAGGCAGUUUUGUGAUUUAA